GCGAACGCUGGCGGCAGGCCUAACACAUGCAAGUCGAGCGGGCACCGCAAGGUGUCAGCGGCAGACGGGAGAGUAACACGUGGGAACGCGCCCUUCGGUUCGGAAUAACUCAGGGAAACUUGAGCUAAUACCGGACACGCCCUUACGGGGAAAGAUUUAUCGCCGAAGGAACGGCCCGCGUCUGAUUAGCUAGUUGGUGAGGUAAUGGCUCACCAAGGCUACGAUCAGUAGCUGGCUAAGAGGAUGAUCAGCCUCACUGGGACUGAGACACGGCCCAGACUCCUACGGGAGGCAGCAGUGGGGAAUAUUGGACAAUGGGCGCAAGCCUGAUCCAGCCAUGCCGCGUGGAUGAUGAAGGCCCUAGGGUUGUAAAGUCCUUUUAACGGGGAAGAUAAUGACGGUACCCGUAGAAUAAGCCCCGGCUAACUUCGUGCC
rnacentral:rRNA from 1 species